UUCUGCCUUCCAGAAGGAAGCCUCAUCCUCCACCAUGUUCUCUCAAGUGCUGCAGAAUGGGAUCAGUAAGCUGAUGUCGAGCGUUUGAGGGAGCUGAACCCUCCUGUGUCCUUCUGUGCUGAGGAGACAUGAACCUCUGCUUCUGCAAGAGCAUGCCCCAGUUCUCAGUCAGCAUGUGAUGAACAGUCUGUUUACUUCUAACCCUGAUCAAAGAUAUUGUACAGAUUGAUGUCUCACAAUGGCCGCCUUGUAAGGGAAAUACCAUGUGAUCAGUGCUGGCCACAAGAAGCUGAGCAUUCUGAGAAGGUGCAUCUGGGAGAUGUCUGUGUAAAGUCAUCUCUGAUCCGAAUGUGUAAGCCUGGAGCCCUGGUGGUUCCUGCACCUGCGUGGCUAGCUCAUUAAUGUAAGGGAGAAUGAGAAAGAGAAAGCAAGAGGAAACCUCAUGGGAUUGCUGAACACCUGCACAGACUCCAGAACCCACC
rnacentral:lncRNA from 1 species